GCCUAUUUAGCUCAGUUGGUAGAGCAUGGUGUUUGCAACGCCAGGGUUGUGGGUUUGAUUCCCACGGGGGGCC
rnacentral:tRNA from 1 species